UAUCCAGUGGCUCAGUCAGCAGAGCAUUGUGCUACCAACACAAAGAUUGUGGGUUCGAACCCUAGAUAA